GGGGACACGGGGUGGCCGCGGGGCCUCGGCGGCGCCGGGUACGGGCAGAUCCAAGAGGAACGGAGCGGAGCUGCGGCCACAUCGCUUCCCAAACGGCACCUGCCCCCGCCGCCCGCCAGGGGGUCUCGCUCCAGCCCCUCCGGUCCUCUCCCGGCCCGGGUUCCGGGCACUGCGGACCCCGGGCGGUGCAGGACGGGGGUGCUGCACCGCGGGGCGAUUCCUGAUGUCUGACCAUCUUAGGGAAAUACCAGGGGACACGUGUAAUCCGCAUUUCGGCAUCCCUGUGAUCCUGCACAAUCCCGAAACACCGGCAGAAAAAACACGAAUAUGUCAGGAUGCUCUAGAAGGGCUAUUGGUAAUACGACUUCUGGAGCGUAAGGCUUCCAAAGCUCACUUGCUGACGCCUUCCUGAAGGUCCAAGUCAGAACAGCACAUAGCCCCAUUCCCCAUCUCCCGGCUGGUAGCAGAGGAGCAGACUCCAUUUACUCCUUGGCGUGGAUCAAGAUUAAAAGCCCCGAAAUUCUCUUUCCCCAGUACCAAGCGCAGCAGUGCCAGCCCCUGUGCACACCCCCAGCCCUGAGGGUCAGCUCUAAUGUGUUCUCCCUCAUAGGGUCCUCAACCAGUAUCAAUAAAGGCAUUACCUGGAGACUUUGCAAAACUCAAGUGUAACAGGAAAGUUCCUACAUCAAAGCAGUUCUUAAAAUAGUCAAUAAGCCAGAGAUAAAACCCGAGUGAAAAAGCUACACCAGACGACAUCUUAAAAUCUACUUAUUUCAGAAUAAAUCAAUUUGGCAUCUGGAAAUCUGAAGUGUUUUGUCACUAGAGCUUAUGCCUGUUGCUCAAAUCAGAACAGAGGGACCAUGUUUUUUCAAAAGGAUAAUGUCAAGAUCAUGGUCAUUUCAAAACAACAAUUUGCAGUCUGGAGCGGUGACUGUUCCAUGGAUCUCAGAAUAACAGAUUAUCCCUGUGUCCAUCCAGACACAAACUGGAAGAUGUUUGCUAAUACAGCUCACUAAUUACAAUUUCCUCCCCCUCAAAAUUAGUAAUUUCCAUUAUUGUUUCAAUUUAUAAUUUUCCAAAUAAAA